UGAACGCUGGCGGCGUGCUUAACACAUGCAAGUCGAACGAGAAAGCUUUAGCUUGCUAGAGCGAGUAAAGUGGCGCACGGGUGAGUAACGCGUGGGUAAUCUACCCUUGAAUUUGGGAUAACACUUCGAAAGGGGUGCUAAUACCGGAUAACAUCUUUUUUAUUGCGGUAAGAAAGAUCAAAGAUAGCCUCUUCCUGAAAGCUAUUGUUUGAGGAUGAGCCCGCGUACCAUUAGCUUGUUGGUGGGGUAACGGCCUACCAAGGCGACGAUGGUUAGCUGGUCUGAGAGGAUGAUCAGCCACACUGGAACUGGAACACGGUCCAGACUCCUACGGGAGGCAGCAGUGAGGAAUUUUGCGCAAUGGGCGAAAGCCUGACGCAGCAACGCCGCGUGAGUGAUGAAGGAUUUCGGUUCGUAAAGCUCUGUCAAGUGGGAAGAAGUUAUUAUAUGUUAAUAGCAUAUAGUAUUGACGGUACCACUGAAGGAAGCACCGGCUAACUCC
rnacentral:rRNA from 1 species